UUGUUCUAAUCUAACAGUUGAUGCCUGCUCUAGUUGUUCUAAUCUAGUAGAUGAUCCCUGCUCUAGUUGUUCUAAUCUAGUAGAUGAGCCCUGCUCUAGUUGUGUUAUAAUCUAGUAGAUGAUCCCUGCUCUAGUUGUUCUAACUAGUAUGAUCCCUGCUC
rnacentral:lncRNA from 1 species